rnacentral:sRNA from 1 species
UAAGUCAUUUUGCUGAACCUUACCAUGGU